rnacentral:rRNA from 1 species
AUUGAACGCUGGCGGCAUGCCUUACACAUGCAAGUCGAACGGUAACGCGGGGCGACCUGGCGACGAGUGGCGAACGGGUGAGUAAUGUAUCGGAACGUGCCCAGUUGUGGGGGAUAACUGCUCGAAAGAGCAGCUAAUACCGCAUACGACCUGAGGGUGAAAGCGGGGGAUCGCAAGACCUCGCGCAAUUGGAGCGGCCGAUAUCAGAUUAGGUAGUUGGUGGGGUAAAGGCUCACCAAGCCAACGAUCUGUAGCUGGUCUGAGAGGACGACCAGCCACACUGGGACUGAAACACGGCCCAGACUCCUACGGGAGGCAGCAGUGGGGAAUUUUGGACAAUGGACGCAAGUCUGAUCCAGCGAUGCCGCGUGCGGGGAGAAGGCCUUCGGGUUGUAAACCGCUUUUGUCAGGGAAGAAACGCUCUGGGUUAAUACCUCGGGGUAAUGACGGUACCUGAAGAAUAAGCACCGGCUAACUACGUGCCAGCAGCCGCCGUAAGAC